UACGAAGGGGACUAGCGUUGUUCGGAAUUACUGGGCGUAAAGCGCACGUAGGCGGAUUUGUAAGUCAGGGGUGAAAUCCCGGGGCUCAACCUCGGAACUGCCUUUGAUACUGCAAAUCUCGAGUCCGAUAGAGGUGGGUGGAAUUCCUAGUGUAGAGGUGAAAUUCGUAGAUAUUAGGAAGAACACCAGUGGCGAAGGCGGCUCACUGGCCCGGUACUGACGCUGAGGCGCGAAAGCGUGGGGAGCAAACAGG
rnacentral:rRNA from 1 species